AACCAUAGAAACCUGCGGAGUACCUGCGGAGGGAUCAUUAUCGAGUUGCAAAACUCCAACCCUUUGUGAACAUACCUCAGUCGUUGCUUCGGCGGUGGACGGCCUUUUUUCGAAAAGGCCCGAAGCCGCCGGAGGUUCCAAACUCGUGUUUUGUUUAGUGUAUCUCUGAGCCUGAAAACAAAUAAUCAAAACUUUCAGCAAUGGAUCU
rnacentral:misc_RNA from 1 species